rnacentral:rRNA from 1 species
AUUGAACGCUGGCGGAAUGCUUUACACAUGCAAGUCGAACAGCAGCACGGACUUCGGUCUGGUGGCGAGUGGCGAACGGGUGAGUAAUACAUCGGAACGUGCCCAAUCGUGGGGGAUAACGUAGCGAAAGCUACGCUAAUACCGCAUACGAUCUAAGGAUGAAAGCGGGGGAUCGCAAGACCUCGCGCGAUUGGAGCGGCCGAUGGCAGAUUAGGUAGUUGGUAGGGUAAAGGCCUACCAAGCCGACGAUCUGUAGCUGGUCUGAGAGGAUGAUCAGCCACACUGGGACUGAGACACGGCCCAGACUCCUACGGGAGGCAGCAGUGGGGAAUUUUGGACAAUGGACGCAAGUCUGAUCCAGCCAUUCCGCGUGCAGGAUGAAGGCCCUCGGGUUGUAAACUGCUUUUGUACAGAACGAAAAGGCUCUGGUUAAUACCUAGGGCUCAUGACGGUACCGUAAGAAUAAGCACCGGCUAACUACGUGCCAGCCGCCGCGGUAA